UGGGGAAUAUUGCACAAUGGGCGCAAGCCUGAUGCAGCCAUGCCGCGUGUAUGAAGAAGGCCUUCGGGUUGUAAAGUACUUUCAGCGAGGAGGAAGGCGUUGUGGUUAAUAACCGCAGCGAUUGACGUUACUCGCAGAAGAAGCACCGGCUAACUCCGUGCCAGCAGCCGCGGUAAUACGGAGGGUGCAAGCGUUAAUCGGAAUUACUGGGCGUAAAGCGCACGCAGGCGGGCUGUCAAGUCGGAUGUGAAAUCCCCGGGCUCAACCUGGGAACUGCAUCCGAAACUGGCAGGCUAGAGUCUUGUAGAGGGGGGUAGAAUUCCAGGUGUAGCGGUGAAAUGCGUAGAGAUCUGGAGGAAUACCGGUGGCGAAGGCGGCCCCCUGGACAAAGACUGACGCUCAGGUGCGAAAGCGUGGGGAGCAAACA
rnacentral:rRNA from 1 species